UUGCAUUUAUCGCAAUUGCAUCGACGCACAUGUCUACAAGUCCGACGUCUUCCACUGUUGGAUCUAACCCAUCACAUGCACAUAAGACUUCUAGGGAUUUAUCAAGGUUCUUGACUACAAUCUCGUUCAGAGGACUGGAACAAGGCAGUGGUAACUGCUACAGAAAUCAAACAACUGGUACAGAUUAUUUCAGUCCACUAAGACUGUAAGACAUACUAUCAAUGUAGGUUCCAAUCACAAUUCACAAUUCAAUCAAACAUUCCGGCCAAACAAAUCACAUAAGAAGUAGAUCCUUCGAGUUAAAUUGCUAAAGUUUGCAAUUUUUUUCUCCGAAAAUCGACUGCAUUUUCUUUUAAGAAAGAGAGAGACAGAGUAGGGGGGAAAAAAACCUUCAUUGACUUGUUCAGAGGUUGAGAACCAGAUGCAGAAAAGAGGAUGCUGAUGUAGGGACCUGAAUCUAGACAAGUCACCGGACGAGAUAAAAAAAAGUGCAGACGUUUUGUGAUGCCCGGGACCAUCCGAUAUUCCGAUGAACAUUUUUAAGGUUUGCCACUUCUUUCAUCAGUUAUACAAAGGAUAACUUCUGAUGUCAUCUCAUAAUCUGAACUCUGAACUCUGAAGGUAGCAUUUGCGAGAAACCAGUAUUUCAGCGGGUUCAGAGAAUUCAACCCCGACCCCUCUGAUAUUUUUCAGGGACGUCGGAGUAUUAAACCCCGACCCCCACUGCUCGGAAAAUUCGACUCCGACCCCCUGUUAUUUUUCAAAGGGGUUCGGAGAAUUAAACUCCGACCCCUCUUGGCCGAGCUCAAACUCCUCCGGCGUGGCGGGGCUGAGAUUCUCCUACCACCAUUACACAAGGCAAGUGACCCUCUCCAAUCUCCUCUCCUCAUGGAGUGGCUGCACCUGCACUGCAGCAGCCAGCAGGGUUUAUGCCUUUCUCUGCUUCUUUCAGAGUCCCAGAGAAAUGCAACAUGAACAAUCCAAACUUGUGCAGCAAAAUGAACAAAAACUAGUUGCAACUGAUCUGAACUGACAAAGGACAAGUUUUUGCCAAAACUAGCAAACUAUAGGAACACCAGCAUGCACUCGCCAUUGCAUUUUCUACAAAGAAUAAACCGCGGCAAAACCACACCCGAGCUCAGAAAUGGAAGGGAAAGGAACAGCAUUGGUACAAGUUACCUCCUGCUGAUGGGGUUGCAGACGCGCGGCGAGGCGGCGAGCUUGGCGGCGGAGAAGGGGAACGACGCAGGGCUGUCGCUGGCCAGCCCCAUUGCUCAGCCUCAGAUACCAAACCCUCCUGUUUCUUCUUUCCCUUCCCUUUGUGUAGAAAAGAAAAGCUCUGGGCAAUGGCGGAGCGGCGAUGAGUGAGGACGAAACAAAAGAAUAACGGCUGGUGGAGUCAUCGACGUGUGUGGCCUGUCAUCAUUAAGAUACUAGUAAUAUUUUAAACAAAUAAUUAAGAUACUAAUAAUUCAAUUCGAUGACAGACAUUCUUCCAAAAAUCCAUUCUUUAAUUCUUUCGUCUACUUUUUCUUCUUGCACAUUGCACUUGCACUCACCUACAAUUUGCCAAUAGGUCCCCCUGUCUGGCUGUCUCUGCUUUCCCUUUCUUCUAGUACAGGCCACUCAGCUGCAUGCCUGCAUGUCUGCAGAUAGGAAGAAUUGCAUCUUUCAAGGUGUAAAUUAGGGCAGUCCCAACCCAUAACAUUAGAUAUGGUUUUCAUAAACUCCACAUCAUUAAGAAACUAGUACUAGACACUACUCUUCCAAUACAAACACUACUAUUCCAUACUUCAAUUUAAUGCUACUUAUCACACAUGAUGUCUUGGAUAUUGUGUAGAAACCCUGUCUCAUGUGAGACAUGGUUUUCUUCUCUUUCCUCAUUUAUUCACUUGCCACAUCAUUUUUUGUCUUAGGUGGCAACUUAUUUAAUGCUAUGGACACCUAGUCAUUAGGUUAGCAAAGAGGGUCUGUGUGUUGGAUUAGCUGAGAAAGUGACACUGAUGGAGGAACAGUUGGCUGACUAGGGGACAAAGGCUGGUCUACUGUCAGCUUGUGGAUGCUUCAAGAAUUCAGGCUUCAUCUUAUGUGGCCAUACUACUAUUGCCAUUGCUUCUUUUUUUUUUGGUAUUUUGGAUGUAUCACAUACUAACAUUUAUUCUUUCUUUUCUCCUUAACAACUAAAUUGUGGUCUAAUUUUUACUGGCUCCCAAGUAUGUUAUGCUCUGUAUCUGUUUUAGGAGGUGAAAUUUCACAAUGUUUCAAGUGCCAUGUAACUGUAGAAAAUCCAUGCUACUGCAAUUUGUAGCAGCAUGCAGUAGAGAAUGGAGAGAGGAGUGGGGUUGAAGGCUGUCGGUGAAGGAAAUGAUUCGGAUGCUUUGGCUGCCAUGGCUCCUUGUCCACUGAUCUACUCGUACUAGAGUAGAGAGAAUGGACAGCUCUAACUUUUCUUCCUUUGGCUUUUGCUUUUGCUUUUGCAGAGAGGAUAUCGAGGAGAAGAGCUACUAGCUUUGAUCGGGCUUUGUUUGGUCAGGUCCACCAUGAGAAAGCCACAAGACAACCCGACUCGAUUACUCAGCAGCCUAUACUGCUUGUUCAUACUCCAUUGCCGGUCAGAAGCACGAACCGUGCCAUUGAUCAUUUCCUCUCACAGAUUCUUUGCAUUCAUGCUUGGCUGCCUACAGAUUUUGCACAUCAAGCAAGCAUCCAGGCUACUGUUGCGCUCGUGCAAAACUUACCCUGUCAUUUGAUCAUCGAGAAUACAUAUGAUCCAAGCAGUGAUUAUGAUUCACUUGAUCAAUCAGUCUCUCUGUCCGUGUGUGUUAUUUCCCUCCCUCCAAACUUUCUUUGUGAAAAUUUUCUUUUCAGAGAUGAGAUAGAUCAGAUGGGGAAAGGACAGCAAAGUAAAAUGCAAAUGUGCUAAA